AAUCAACGCUGGCGGCGUGCCUAACACAUGCAAGUCGAACGCGAAAGCCCUUUCGGGGGUAAGUAGAGUGGCGUCCGGGUGAGUAACACGUGGGUAAUCUGCCUCCGGGUGGGGAAUAACCAGUCGAAAGAUUGGCUAAUACCGCAUAAUGCAGCGGCACCUAAUGGUGAUUAGUUGUUAAAGAGGGGGACCCUUCGGGGCCUCGCGCCUGGAGAGGAGCCUGCGGCAGAUUAGCAGUUGGUGAGGUAACGGCUCACCAAGGCUUCGAUCUGUAGCUGGUCUGAGAGGACGGCCAGCCACACUGGCACUGACACACGGGCCAGACUCCUACGGGAGGCAGCAGUGGGGAAUUUUGGACAAUGGGCGCAAGCCUGAUCCAGCCAUGCCGCGUGCGGGAAGAAGGCC
rnacentral:rRNA from 1 species